rnacentral:rRNA from 1 species
ACAAUGGAGAGUUUGAUCCUGGCUCAGGAUGAACGCUAGCGGGAGGCCUAACACAUGCAAGCCGAGCGGUAGAGUAUCUUCGGAUACUUGAGAGCGGCGUACGGGUGCGGAACACGUGUGCAACCUGCCUUUAUCAGAGGGAUAGCCUUUCGAAAGGAAGAUUAAUACCUCAUAAUAUACUGAUUGGCAUCAAUUAGUAUUGAAAGCUCUGGCGGAUAGAGAUGGGCACGCGCAAGAUUAGAUAGUUGGUGAGGUAACGGCUCACCAAGUCAAUGAUCUUUAGGGGGCCUGAGAGGGUGAUCCCCCACACUGGUACUGAGACACGGACCAGACUCCUACGGGAGGCAGCAGUGAGGAAUAUUGGACAAUGGGUGCAAGCCUGAUCCAGCCAUCCUGCGUGAAGGACGACGGCCCUAUGGGUUGUAAACUUCUUUUGUACAGGGAUAAACCUACCCUCGUGAGGGUAGCUGAAGGUACUGUACGAAUAAGCACCGGCUAACUCCGUGCCAGCAGCCGCGGUAAUACGGAGGGUGCAAGCGUUAUCCGGAUUUAUUGGGUUUAAAGGGUCCGCAGGCGGGCUAGUAAGUCAGUGGUGAAAGCCUACAGCUUAAC